AGAAAGAAAUCAGAGGCUAUGACACUAGGUGCGAUGUGAACCUCAAAGUCAGGGUUCUCAUAAAUCUUUGUGGCUUCUGUGCUGUGACCCAGAAUAAGAAAUGAAUGUGAAUUGGACAAAGGCUGGACACCUCGCUGGCCAUGUUUUCUACUAUUGAUGUGAAAAAUCUGCUUCAGCAUUAUCACUGGAGAGACACAUAAAGUUCCUUCUUAUGUCACGCAGAAAUACUUGAUUAAUGAGAAACACAUUUUGGAGCAAACGAGAGCUUUUGCCUUUGGUAUCACUUCUUCUCCCAGAUGCUGUCCAUAUAAAUCUGAACAAACUCAAGACAUCGCUAUCUAUAUUAGAUCAACAAAUCCUCUCCGUCC